AGGUCCUGGUUUGUGGCCAAAAAAAAAAAAAAAAAAACAGAAGUCAGCUAUGGCUGUCAUCCUGGACUUGUCUGUGGCACAAAGAGUUAAUGAGACAGUGGUCAGGGUGAGGAACAAUUUUUUCUCAGGGCUGGAGAAGCCCAUAUGGCUCAAGAAAAGAUGUUGCAACAUUUAGUAUGGGGCAGCCCUAUCUGGGCGCUGGGGGCUGCCACUCAAAGAGUUAAGCUAGUCUUAUGCCUGGGAAGCCCUCAGGGAAGGAGUGAGCCUGCAAGGACAGGGACCUCUAUGCCCCAGAGCAGUGAGGUGCAGGAGUAGUGGGGUGGGAGGGGGGGAGCUGAAAAGUGUGGCCAAGGAAGCAGAGUGUAGGCCCAACUUUUUUUGCCUUGUUUGACCAGCCUUGGCACUGCCCUCCGACUCUCCAGGGGAAAAGCUGCAGUUCUGCUCUUGCAACACAAGGAGCAGACUGGAGAAUUUAGAUCUGCGUCACAGAGCUCAGAGAGAGAGAGAGAGAGAGAGAGAGAGAGCAAGCAAGCUCCGUCGAUAGGUCUGCUAGCAACAGCCGUGCUGCAGCAGAGAGAGAGAGAGAGAAAUCAAGAAACAAGUCAUAGCAACACCGGCACCAGGUUCUGCCAGCUCACUUGCUGAGCGUUCAGAGAUCUGUCGGGGCCAGAGGCCUCUGGGUAGCCUAGGCUAGGAGAUGACACGCAAGGUGGCACGGGCGGUUCCCGCAGGGAGGAGGUGGGGUGGUGGUGGGGGGCAGGGGUGGGAGCAAGAGGUUGCGGGGCAACAGUGGAAGGUUUGACGGGACCAAAUUCUGGAACAUUCGGGACUGCGGCACCUUACAGCGGGACUGAGAUUUGGGUCUGCGCAGGCGGCGAUGGGUGGUCCGACGGGCUUCAGGACUUGAUGGCGUAACCCCCUUCUUUCCCCACGUAUGUAUUUGCUGGGAUCAGGGACGCUGUCUCUGUGUAUGUGGGUGCUCUGUCUUUCUCACCUUCUUUCUCGAUUUUUGCUAUUUAUUUCUCUGAGGGAGGGUUUUUUCCCACUUAAUUUCUUUCCCCUAGUGUCAGCUGCUCAAGCAUGACUGGGGUAGAGGAGAGAGGAGUGAACCAUCCCCUGUUUCCCACCUGACCUCCCAGCCUUUACCCUAUUUCCUUCUAGUGGAAAGAUAGACUGGUUCUCCAGGUUGUUUGGGUGUCAGCGUCCAUCUGUCUGUCCGUGCAGGUCUUACGUGGAAGGUAGGGAGUGAGAAGUGCCCAAAAGACAGAGGGACAGUUUUUUCCCAGGGGUUGCCUUAUUGAAAGGUCUGGCCCUGGGAAUCUGAGGCUUGUGGGGAGCCGAGUGGCCAGGAUAGGGUGUGGGCUGGGAGAAGUGGGGUAAAGCUGGUAGGUUUGUCACUGCGUAGUUGGGAAAAGUGGGGAAUGGUGACGCAGUCACUGUUGCAUCUGGUUAGGAGCUCUUGGGGGACAGGUAGUGAGGCUCCUGGGGCCUCUGCGGCCAGCUGAGAGGGGUUAAGGAUGAGCUGAGAAGGGAAGCUAGCAUUUAGAGAUUAAAUGUCAUCCUUUUGGCGUUGGAAAGUUGUUUACCUUGCGCUCUCUGUGUCUCCAUGUUGGCUCCCUUCCAGUUCACAUGUGAUGGCCUUCCCUGUACUGCUGCAUCAUUAACUAAGUGACUGAGCUGGCCUUCCAUUGGCCAGGGGAGGGCUCUCCCUCCAGACACUUCCUCUGAUUGGUGGGUGGGCCAAUGGCAGGUGAAAAGCUUUUUGUGAUUGGCUCAGGGCAGGGUAUCAAAUCUGAAUUUGCAUUUCACUUGCUUAAAGGGGAGGGGGGAGAAGCCCAGCAGCUUUCUAAAAUCUCUUUAGGGGUGUGCGUAGGCUCCUGUGUCUAUGACUGCUUUUGACUGCCCAGUUGAAGCCUCUUCCUAUGCCUUUUAAAAUUUCAUGCACUAUAAGGAAGAAGAGCUCAGGGCUCCCAAAACUUUAGAGGGAAGAAUGCUAGGGAGAUGGGUGUGCAGAGAGGGUUGACCAAAUUGGAAGAAAAUAUUUAUCCUGUAGUUUGGUGUUGAAAAAGGAAAUUUUCCAAUCAGCCACACCUCAGUGUUGCGGCAAAAUAAUUCUCGGCUCCCCUGGAAACGCAUGGGCAAGGUAGGGCAGAGCUGCUGCUGCUGAUAUUGCCACCACCCUGGGCUUCCUGCUGACUCUGGGCUACUCCCUGGGGACAAGAGAUUUGCAUUGACGUCCGGGGCUGUCCAGAGGCCCAUAGGAGCCAGUUGUGAGCUGAACCCAGUAUGGGAAAGAUCUACCUUCUGGAAGCUACUACUUGGUGCUUGGAAAGAUGACUCAGUGUAUCAGGAGCCGGGAGAUGGAGCUCUCAGCAGAGUGGCCAGGAUGUUCUGUCAACAUGAAAGCUGCAAAAACAGCUUGGGGCUCUGAGCUGAUCCUUAGCCUGGGGUCAUUUUCAGGGAGGACUGGACAGCGAAGGCGCCCGCUGCCCAGGCAUCAAGAUGGGGGCGACACCAGAGGACUCAAGAGAAUGCAGCUUGCUUUGUGAGUGGGUGACAACCCCUUGGCGAUUCAGGCUCAGCUGAGGAUGGUGCCAGUGUGCCGGAGACAGCCGUCAUACUGCCGGAUAGAGUAGCUUACUUGCAUGUAUUUGGAACAAAAAAAGGAGAUGCCUGGCAGCCCCACACGCUGCAGUGCUGUUGAGCCACCAAUUUUUGUGGUUUUGUGACCACAAGUGCGCUGAGUGAUGUGACAUGACCCCAGUAUUGUCAGUGAAUCAUCACCAAGUUGCUUAUUGGAAACCAGAUGCAGCAAGCAAAUAGGAUUUAACCACUCCACUACCUGCCUCCCAGGUAAGUCCAGCAUGAGCUGCUCCCUCUAGCCUUCCCUCAGUCUCAUUCCUUCCCAUGAACAUCAUUUUUCUUAUUCCGCGGGGGAACCUUAGACAUCUCCAUUCAGAAUCUCCCAAACAAUUGUUCUCUUUUUUGUAUUCUCCUCCUUCUGGCUUUUCUGUGAAUGGGGUUAGUAAUGAGCACAGGACUGGGGGCAGGAUGGGCAGCUGAAGUCGUUGGGCUGUGCGGAUGUGUGGGAGAUGGCUGGUAGCAUUGCUAGGUGUGGCAGUUGGCAGAGCAUUUGGGCCUCCCACAGUAAGUGAAUAGCAACUCUCCUUAGCUGCAGCAUCCAGCAGGAGGUUCUGGAUUUAACCCCUCGGUAAUCCUGGGAGCCUUCUUGGGGCCUGGGGAUUCUCUUCCCUAUGUAGUCUCAGUGGAUGGCCUGUCUCACUCCAGAUACAUUUUGCCUUGAUCAGGCUUAGUCUAGGUUGGUGGUCUGGAGUUUGAACUGGGCUGAGCAGUGAGCUUUAGGACUCUUUCCCUACUUCGGGGGUUUCUUUCAAUGAGCCACUUUCUGCCUCUAGGACUUCAUUACCUUUGCCUUAAAAAACAAAAUCCCUAGUCCAGUAAGCCAUUGCAAAGCAUCUCUAGACAGUUGACAAAUGCUUUUUGUCUGCCUCACUUGUUGCCGGUCACAAUAAUAGCAAUGGUGAUUAAAAACAAAAAAUGAUGAGGGCCUGCAGAAUGGGGGAGGUCAGUUGCAUCAUGAUAGGAUUCACAAAGCAGACUCCUGGUGCCUGCCCAUCACCAGGAAGUCUCUCUCCUAUUGAGUAGAUGACUACAGCAUUCUUGGCCAGUAGAGCCAGCUAGAACUAGCCAACAGCAGAUUGGUCUGGGCUCUAAAGAGAAAAGGAAUGAUGUUGGGUAAUUUUUGGAGGCACCUAUGGGAUCCUACCUCUGGCCACACAGCGGUCACGUCACUCUGCUCAUAUGUCACAGUGGGGAUGGGGAUUCCUCUUCCCCAUGCUGCUCCCAUCGCUAUCUAGAAAAGACUGGCCAAUUCUGCUUCCUGUUAUUUUCAUCUUCUUCUCUGUCCAUUUGAGAUGAGUCUCUAGGUUGGCUAUGAGCAGCCUGAGGGAUCCAGGGCUAUUUGGAAGAGUCUGGUGUCUCUUCCUUUAAGGACUCUGACAGGUCUCAGCCCUCUAGCUGUACUGCAGUGAGGGAUGGCAGGGGGUGUUGGAAUGGAGAGAUAUCGAUUUGGGUGCAGCUGGGGAGACUAACCAGAGUGAGCCAAGGCCCUCAAGAAGUAUUGGAUAGAGUCUGGCCAGUGCUGGCUCUAGGGCCAAAGCCAGACGUAGCUGCUGGCUGUGCUUGGGAGUCUCAGCCUUCACAUGUGAGGUGCAUCUCUGGGCAUAGCUCUUGAUGACCCCCACUCCCACGAAUAGCCCUGUCCUUGGUUAGAUUGGGAAAACCAGGGUGGGAAGUAAAGGGAAGGUUGGUUUUUCUCCUGGUCAUGCAGUAGUCUCUGUGGCCUCUGAUGUUGCCAGAAUUGGGAUUGGUGUUUCCCUGCUGAUUUUCCUAUUUUUGCCUCUCAUCUGGUUCUGUUCCUCUUUGCUCACCAGCCUGGGUUCUAUAGACAUGACGUGGGGUAUUGUGUGUUGCCAAUGAGGCUAGCAGAACAGUUGGUAUCACCUGAGAGAGGGGCCAACAUAUCUGGCACUUUUUUCCUUACCUUCGAAUUUCUGAGGUCUGGGAGCCAGGAGGCAGCGUGCGGCCUCUCCAUCCCAGAUCCAGCAGAGGUUAACAGAAGCUAGUGGCUCUGGAGCCGAGGUGGUGUAGCUUGGCUGGGAGUUGUAGGGGAGAGGCCCUGCCAGGGGCCCUGAUUGGUCAGCACCUUCUCUAUUCCAUUGAAUCCUGGUCUGAUCAGUGCUGUGAAUUGUUUAAUGCAUAUCUUGGCACUGUCCCCUGGCUUGAGUGUCCUGAGGUUGCAGCCACAGCUUGAGAGAGGAUCUGUACCUUGUUCUGGUCACUUUUUUGGGCAUGUUGCCUCCCUCUGAGAUAUAUGUAAGAGAUACCACCCUUUCCCACCAGCCGGCUGUCUGUGGGAGGCCCUCAUUUUGCUUUGCUUUUCUGAGACUUGGAGUGACUGUGAGGGAAGCAUAGACUGAGUUUGCUUUCUUACUGGCUCCUUCUACAAGAGCUUCUCAUGGGCUGAUAAAGCCAGAGAACAGCUCCAGGGCCCCAUGGCCUAUGCAGAGCCCAGUGUCAAGCCUGUGGGGGUGGAGUGGGGACAUGGGGGCAGAUAGAGCCACAUGGGGAGGGGAUAUAUGUGGUUAGCUCACAGGAGCAAGCCCAAGAGGGUGUGGGAGGACAAGUCCAGUGCUCAGCCAGGACUGCCUGUUGUGGCCCAGGAUGGAUGUGUGCAUCUCCCGUGAAGGAUUUGCAUCUGAGUGCCUGGUGCUGAAGGCAGGAUGGUGCCCCAGUCAGGGUCUGUAAUGAGGCCUGAAGGUAUGAGAUGGGCAUCAGAGUUGUUGGUCCCUAAAGGGAAACUAACCUUUUUUAAGGGCUCUCUUCUCCUUAUCUGAUUUCAUCCUCAGAACAACCAUAUGUUGUAGGAGUCACUUCCCUUUUAUGGUUAAAGAAACUGAUUAUUAAGUGACUUAACCCAAGGUUAUGCAUUUGGUAAGUGAGGUUGUUGAGAUUUAAAUCCAUGUACUUCUUAUUCCAAAGCCUCUACUUUCUCUUUACUCUUUUGGGCUGAAGUCAGACAUUUUUUGUGAACUAAAAUCCUCAAAGGAUUGAUGUGAACCAGAGUGAAAGGCAGACACCCAGAGGGACGUGCCAGUCACUGGGGAUGGUUGUGCCGCAUUUCUUUUGGGGUAGGGAGGGCAGAUGCAAAUGUCCUUUGGUAGCCAUGGACAGGCAGAGCUGAGCAAGGCCAGUACAUGGCAUCUGCUGUUGUGUACGGAGCCUCUGCUAUAUGCCAGGGACUGUGCUAGGUGCUGGAGAUGCAGAACUCGACAAAGCCAAGUUUCCACUGUUGUGGGGCAUACAUUCUAGUGUGAGGAGACACUAUUAAUAGUGAUUUUAAAAAAGAAUUCAGAAAUGUACAGGAUAGAUAUAUAUGGAGAUUGGAGACGAAAAGGGGGACUCCCCACACACACAUAAGGAGGAGGGUCCAGAUGAUGGUCAGAGGGAUCUAGAGACUCAGGACUUCAGCCACCUGAAGCCACAUCAGUUGUGCUUUCCUCCAGAGAGUUAGGACUAACACAGACUUAACCCCCUCUUUUUUCCUAAUAACUAGGGAAAUCCAUCCAGGGUCCCCAUAAUAGCUUACAGGAGCUUGUCGUGAGUCAGGGAUCAAGGUGGAGUAGAUGUCAAGCCUUUGGUCUCCAGCAGUCUGGAUUUCUCCCGUCUGCCACGGUUGCCCUUGGCUUUCUGCCUCACACCUUCCCAGGCACCAGCUGACUUCUUUCCUCAGCCUGGUCACUGUGCCCCAUUCUUGUCCAUGCAGCACAGGGAAAUGUGCAGGUUAGGUCUUUGCCAAACCACUGGUCAAACGUUCCUGCAGGAGGCUACUUUCUGAGCUCAGCCUGUCCUGCCAGAAUGAGCCAUUCCCAGAGCUAAUGAUCAUGCGAUAGCGAAGGGAUGGGCAGCAGGCAGAGAAGUGGCCUGUGCCAGAUGCUUGGUUGAGCUCUGUGUCUUGAGAGGUGGAGGCAGGUUGGUGGUGCUGGGGACAGGGCAGGCAUGUGUCAUGUGUUCAGCGCAUGGGCUGCAGGGCUCGGGACUUGUUUACUUGGUGGAAGAGGCGGUGGCCCCGUGGAGUCAGGCCAUGUGAUUCUUCGCUCCUUGGCUGAUUAUGGACAACUGACCCACCGGGACUGCACACACUGCCAUCUGCUGCCAGGGGUCUGAAGUUGCACAGGAAUGAGAUAGUAUGGUUAGGGGUGCUCAGGGAGGAGGAGGGUCAGGAAAGUGGGGUUUAUGUUGCUCCUUGUUGAGGAGUCAGUAGACCUCGAUUCUUGUCCUAGCUCACUUUCCUUCUUUGAGCUCCAGUUUCAUUUAUCUAUGAAAUGAGGCGAUGGAACCAGAAUCUCUUUGGGGGUUCCAGCUGUAUCCUGGGGCCUCCCUGAGUGUUCAUGGAAAUGUUUCUUAGCCAGCAACUGAGGAUGAGGAAAACUAGGCCCAAGUUUCCACAAGAGAAGGUGAGGGAUCUUGAUGACUUAUCUCAGAGCAGCUGAAGAGGCACCAUGGGAAUUAGUGUGGGUAGGUGGGUAGAAGGAGGUAGUUUUUGAAGAAUCUCCCAGAAAUGGAAGCAGAGAGCUGGAGGUUUCUUGAAGGUGUUGAUGAAGAUCCACCAGGUGGCAAGGGACAUGGCUUCGGGCUUUCCCUGGGAGGCUUGUUGGAGAUGGCGCAUGUGGGAGCUGCUGGAGCCUCUUGCUGUCCUGCAGGGGGCUAACCCGAGAGAUCCUGCUCUAGAACAGAAGCUCCGUCCUGUCUGGCUCUAACCCUGGAGAGAGAAUGCAGCUGUGCACACUGAGGAAGGGCAUCUGUUACAGGGUCUGUGCCCCUUGCUGUCAGGAAGUUUUCCUUUAUAUUUAGCCUUUUCUUUUGACAUGUUUUUUGAGGCCCUUGACUAAAAUAUUAAAUUUUAAAAAUGACAAUGACAAAAAAAAAGAAAAAAACCCAAAAAUAUCUGAGUCACUGGUUCCAUUUUGGCUUUUUAGUCUUGAAUCACUCUUAAAAAGAUAGCAAAAUAAAACACAUGUGGGAAAGCCCAAGGUCCCAGGUCCAGCCAGACUGGGGCUAGGAGUGGCUGGGACUCUGGCCUUGCUUCCCUGCGGCAGUGUUAGUUCCAGACGUCCACCACUGCUCCAAGGCUGUGUGGGUAGGAGCCCCUGGGGCUGAGGGGGCACAUUGUGCAAUCUGCUAAGCAGAAUAUAGAGUUUUAAAAUAGCUACAUUUCUCCAAGACACUAUCUGCCUGCCACUUUGUGGGAUGUUUACCUGGGAUUAAUAAUAGCUGAGUGCCACCCCACUGCCAGUAUGGAAUAGCAAACAGCCAUCUGGGCUGGGACUCAGGCAGGAGAGGAAUGGAGUCAUAACCAUCAUAUCAGCUCAGAUAGUUCUUUUCACACUUGCUGGCUCAGUUGGUCCUCACACAACCCUGGGAGGAUAGGUGGUCUUAUCCUUGUCGUUGGUGAAACUGAGCCAGAGAAUCAGUUCUGUCAAGAUCUAACUGCUUGCAGCUGUUUCUCGUGGAUCUCCCACCCAGGUCUUCUGACUUCAGCUGUCAUUUCCCUGGAUUCUGAUUAGUGGAGCAGGGGUAGGAGAAGGGGAAUGGAGUCUUCAGCAGUUUCCUUAAUUUCUGAAGGCCUUAGAGGGCCUUUCUGUAUGUUGAAAAGGAAACGAAAUAUCAGCAUGUCCAGGUCCUCCAACUCUUCAAUUCUUUAGACUUUCUGGAGCUCUUGUGAGAACUGGCUUGCACUUCUUGGCUGGGAAGCCAGCCACUCACCAUGUAUUCUUGGAGAGGUUUCCUGCAUUUGGAAGCUUCUGGAAUAUGUGAUGCAUCAAACCACUGUGACAUAUCUGUACGGCACCUCACACCUGUGCACACAGGCAUGCUUCUGCUGAGUCCAGCUCACUUAGAGAUGAGGCCCAGUGUGGGGUCUUUGAGAUUUUUCCAACACUUUGUAAGGGAUGCCCUGAGCCUUGCCCAGCAUGCAUGUUGUGUGUAUGCUACCUGUUUGUUGACUAAUGUACAGUACCUGCUGGAAGCCUUGGCUAAUGUACAAUGUAAAGUAAGGGACUAGAAACAAUGGCUUCAGCUCUGAGUGUCUGCCUUAUGAUUGGCUUGAAAAAGUAUGGAUUACCCACGGAGAGAAAGGUGGGUAAGCCCUACUGACUCAUGGGUGUCAGUUUUCCUUAAAGGCAGAGCAUAACUCCCACUCUUUAUAAGGGCUGCUGAGGCAGAGUACUAGACAGCUUGGUCAGUUAGCCCCCUGAGUGACCUUUAUUUGAAUAGACCCAGAACUUGUAUGAAGGUGGAAAUAAUGGUUUAUCUUUAUUUACAGCUAAUUUAGCCACGAUGCUUUAGGCUUUUUGGCGGGGGUAUUCCUUUAGGAUGAUUGAGGCUGGACAAGGGCAGUGUGUGUAUGUGUGCCUGAAUGUCUGUCCUUUUGUAUUUCUUGAAUGCAUCCUUGGUUCAUAUAGAAGUGAUGGGGAAUCCACAGCAGAAUUGUUUUAGUGAGUGAAGGCUUCUGUAGCUUCAUGUGUGAAGAUUUGUCAUGUUGGACCCAGUUCAUUCUGUUCACCUGAAGGAUGGAAAAGAGAAUGGGCGGAACUUACAGCAAGGAGGUGAUUUGAGCUGGACUUCUAGAAGAACUGUGCAUCACCUCUGCUGAGGGUUCCUGAGGAAACAUGAAGCCUCUUUAUUUGAGGUAGGAGACUGGGUGUGCUCCACAGGAUCCUCCCAGUCCUGAAUCUGUGGCACUUCGAGAUGGUCCCUGGAUCAGCAUGAGGUGUGGGUGCCAGGAUCUAGAGCAGGCAUCUCUCUCCAUUUUUGCCUUCUGCUUUCAAUGCAAGCCCAAGCUGGGUGGAAUUGAGGAGAUGCAUGGGCACGGUGCACCAAUAUGGGCAUUGAACCUGGAACUUUGACCUCAUUUCCCUUCGCAGAGAGAAUUUCUGGCACUGAUCUUAAAGGAACUGGUAUUAUUUGCAUAUAAAAGAAGAGAAAGGCACAUUGUCCCUCAUCUUUUCCAGCAAAGAGCCCUGAGCUGCUCUAAUCCUAUGGUAGAGAGGGAGGAGGGCCGUGUAGAGGACACAAGGCCAGACAUGGUUUGCCGGGAAGAAGGUAGGAGGUGCGAGAGGAACAUCUCAGGGCAGGCCAUCAACUCUGGGAGCCACAGGCAUUGCCUGCUAUACUAAACGCACAGGGAUGUGUUCAAAUGGGCUACUACUUAGAGGUAAUCCAGAGUCUAAAAUAAAUUAGUUAAUGGCUAAAUGAGCGUUGUAUUAAAUAUGGAAAAUCAUAUAUUCUUUUGUGUCACCACCUACAGAUUUAGCAUCAAAAGGCCUGACAGGCUGAGGACAGUGAAAUGCGUCCUGUCCAUAAGAUGAUGCUUAUUUAUUGUGACUUCUUUCUCUUUUUGUUUCUAUUUCCCACUCUGUCUUAUUGCUUAGGCCUACGUCAAUAUUUAUGCAGUUGUGUUGUUAUUUCCUUGGGGUACCAUUCUUCCAGUGUCAUUGGCAUCAAUGAAUGUGUGACUUUGAUUUCAAGUGUAAACAAACCACUGGCUCACGCAGGGAUGAGCCAUCUCUGAGACAAGGGCCCCGGCAGCUGCCUGCAGACGCCCUUCCCCCAUAGACCUGGACUGUUUUUCAGCCAGAUGCCUGAGAUGAGAGUCAAGAGUGUCCUUGCAGGGACCUGCUCAACCCCACAUCAUGUGUCCUGCUGGGAGGGGUGGUACUCACACAUGCAUCUUCCAACCUUAUUCGCUGGUACUGCUUUUCAGCUUGACCCAAGGAGUGGUGUUGGAAGUGUGAGACUGUUCGUCCCCUGCUAGGUAAGAAGGGUGCCAGAGAGGAGAGGUGCUGACAGAGAAGAAGGGAACACAGGCUUCUGCCCGCUAGCCUGUCUCCAAGACAGGUUAACUUUGUGUUAAGAAGCAAACUCAUUUAAUCUUUUGGCCCUAAUAGAAGUUAUUUGUAUUUUCUCUCCUUCUCUCUUUUCCCUCCUCUCUCUCACUCCCUCUCCCUCAACUCCCCAGCCUCCAAAGAAUUUAAUCUGCUGGACAACAAACAAUACUGUUAUAAAACUUUGAAAACAAGAGGGCGCGGCCUCCCUGACAAGGAGAAGGGCAUGCCGGGUAAUGGCCCGAGGGAGCGUGCCAGGCCUGAGAUGGAGCCGGGCGAGAGCCCAGUUGGCUGGGUACCUGGGUGCCUGCCCCUGCAUAGCCCACUAGCUGCGCCAUCCCCAGGCCAGAGGGGAAGGAACUAAAACAAAAGCGAGGGCAGAGAAGAGCUUGAAAGGGGAAGUUGUACGUGUGUUCCCCUCUCUGUGAUCUGAUGGGAAUGCAGUAGACUGUGAAACUUCCUCCUCCACCUCUUCUCCCUCACCCCUCCCACCCCCCCACCCUCCUUCCUCCUCUCUCCUCCUUCCUCCCUCCUUUGUCCUCCCUCCUCCUCCUCCCUUGUCUUGCUACUCACUGUUCUUUAACCCAUCAGACAGAGGUCCUGAUAGCAGAAUGAGGCUGGAAUGGCACUGGAGGUGCAGCCACCAGCUGGGCCAAUCAAAGUGGAAGGAGAGAAAGUGGGCUCACAGUUGGCUUUGGACUCGGACCAACCCUCUGUCUGGCCCAGCCUCCCCUCUUCUGUUAGGGAACUGGAACCACGUCACAUCACAGGGUGUGCCCGGUCCAUGUAUGCCCAGGUAUUGGGGAGAACUGCCACUUGGAGGUUAGUUCAGGAAGCACCCUGGGCUUCCUGGUGCCCACCUUGGACUGUGCUCUGGGGAGGGUGUUUGACAUGUUGAAAUGCUCUCUUCUUUAAGAUGCUGUGCUGUCCCUCCAGGGAGGGGCAGAGGCUUGCUGCAGAGGCUGGGGCAUGCCUCUGGAAGAGUUCUUGGGAACAGGAGCAUGCUUCUCCCAGCGAAAGCAGGCAUGCCAUCUUGUGAGUGUGGUGCCUGGUAGGCUACUGCAUCUGUUAGUUACUUCUCUGUAGCUGAAGGAGGAGGUCAUCCAGCUCUGCCUGGGGGAAGUGGGGAAGCUGGGCUUUGGGCGUCUCACCAUAGUUUCAGUUUCACCUGAAACUAUGCACUUUUUAGUCCAUUUCCACUGAGUCAAGCAGAUGAUUUAGGAAUGACCAGGGAGCAGUGUUGGUGGUUUGCCUUUGGAUCUGCAUCGGUUUGGACCCAUGAACUGCAUGGUGGGCAUUGUUUGUGUAAUAGACCAUUGGCAUAAUUUUUCCUCUUGCAGAAAGCACUAGCUUCCUUGAAAGCAGUUCAGCCAUGCCCAUCUUCCUCCGCCAGAGCUAAGCCCUUCUACUGGGGGAACGUGGAGACACCCGGGCUCCAGUCUUCAUUCCAUUCCUUUUCCUUCCCUUUGCCCUCCACUAUCUCCUCCUGUCCCCCCAGCUCAUCCCAGGGGCAGGGUAGCCUUGGUGCAUCCUUCCAUCCAUCCAGCAGUUCUGACCCAGGACCCCUGUGCUGGCACUGAGGCUGGGUUUUUUGUCGGUAGUGUUAAGGGAGGGAUAGAAAACUGAACUUUUAGGAGUGUGGCUGCCUAGGAACCUAGAUUUCCAUACCUCUGACCCAGGGGAAGCCAGAAGAACUGUUGCUGGGUCCACGUAGGCUUAGAAGCCUGUUACUUAUUGCCUUGUUACCUGAGUAGCAAUUUGAGGGGCACUCUGGGUUUGGAGAAUGUGAUUCCAACACUGGGACUCAGGGCCUGGGAAAUGAAGUGGUCCCUGAGUUCUGAGUCCUCCUUUGAAGGCCAACCUGCCAGGAAGGAAGAGCCCGAUGGAGGUUUCUGGAGACUUUGGGCCAGCCAGUAACUCCAUGCUCCCUCCCCUCCACCCUUGGCCCCUCAUGCAUAUAUCCUUCCUUUUAUCACCCUUCCCUCUGAUGCAUUAACCACAGCCACCAUCCUGAUAGCUAAAGACACAAUGUCCAGGCUGCUGCCUAGAAUGACAGGAAGCUGGGCUGGACUUUCAGUUUAUACAUGCAGUGGCCUGGGACUGUCUUGAGGGCAAGACAUUCUCCUUUUUCAAAAGAGCCUUCCCCAGGCCCCUUUCUCACCAAGAUAAGCUUUUCCUCACUGCCAGGAUCCCUGAAAUCAGCAUUCCCAGAGGGAAGAAGAUGGCCAUCUGGGCUUGGCUUCCGGCUCCCCCCAUCUGGCUGGAACACACAUCAGUCACGUAAGUUGCUGUGACUCAGCACCCAGCGCUGCCUUGGCAGAACCUCCCCACAUUCUGGAUUUGCACACACUGUGGUAGCGCAGCACAAGCCAGCAGGGUUAGGCAUCUGGGGGCCAGGGUCUGUCUGUUCAGUGGCUUUGCUUACAGAUUUCAUAAACAAGGAUUCCCACACCUUCCCAUUUUCCUCUCAUGUUAUUUUUUAGGUACCAUGCUAUGCUUUAAAGACAAAAAUCAUCAUUUAUAGAAUGAAGUAGAAGCUAUCUUUGCAAUCUCCAAACUGUUUUAACCAAAGCUGUAGAUUACAUUUAACCCUUUGAUGUGUUUGACCUGCACUAGUUUUUGUUUUUGUUUUGAGACGGGUUUUACUCCCAGGCUGGAGUGCAGUGGCAUGGUAUCAGCCAACCUCUGCUUCCCGGGCUCAAGCAAUUCACAUACCUCAACCUCCUGAGUAGCUGGGACUACAGGUGCGUGACACCAUGCCUGCUAGGGUUAUUUUAAUGUAUCUGAUUUUACAUGCAUUUACACAAAAUAUGGCCUCUCUGGGACACUGUAUUUCUGCUUCAUGCUGUUGCUGCUUUUCUGUCUCAGGUUUCCUGCCCGAGCCCUCUGAGUAUUUGACCAAGCUGUGAGCAGUCUACUUCAGCCUCCUCUCCUUACACAUGAAGACACUGAGGCCCAUUCAGGGCAAGUGGCAGGUCCCUGUUCUCAGAAUUAGGGCCGAGCAGGUAUUAAAACUCUGUGUUCGUAUUCACUGUGUGCCCAGGGAGAUGAAAAUGCCCUGGUGUGAGAGGAAGCCUCCAGGGAGAAUAUGGGCACAGAAAUGGACCAGGAUGGAGUAUAGCUCCCACACCUUUUCCCUGAAUGGCAGCACUCACAAGACUGACAUGCCCACCCCUCUAGGUGGGUGGUUUUUCUCCCCAGGCAGCCCUGCCAACCCUUUCACUUGUGGCCAGUUUGUUUAGAGUCCUUAGGCUGAGGCAGAGAAAACCCAUCACCCUCCUUGGAUGGCAGACCUCUCAGCAGGCUGGGGUUUUCAGGCUGCCUUCUUACAGGUCUAGGUGGCCUUCUGGCAUGGUGCCAGGGAGAGCAAGCCUCGUCCAGCCCUUAUCAAACUAACUGGCUGCUUCCUAGUAGGGAACAGCCACCAGCUUGUUUCAGAGAAGAAUCAUUGCUCAGCUGACUCUCAGAGGAGAAAACUGGUUCUGUUGGGAAGGCUUAGACCUUCAUCCAGUGGAAUGGGAAAGGCAAAGGAUUUCAGUACUAACAUGACUUUUUCUCCACUUCUUUUAGAGUGUUUAAAGUCAUGCAUUGUUAAUGGCUUCUCAUCUCUUCUUCCAGAGAGUUGAGUUAAAUUUUAGAAUCCGGGAGUGAGGACCCAGACUCUGGCUUCUGUUAGCUCCCUCAGUGGCAGUGGCCCCCUGAUAUGUGCAGCCCCUUUGCUUGACUCCAGAUGGUCCCGUACGGGUUGCAGGAGAGAUAUUAAGUAAUCAUACUGACGACCAAGUGAGAUAAGUGGCUUCAAGAACUUGAGGCUGGUGAGGACGACUUAAUCUUCUAGCAAGCUGGGCUAGACUUGGGGAAGCUUUCCUGAGCUGAGGGGAGGUUGACUGGGGUUCCCUGGAGUGGCGGUGGGUAGGGGCGGGGCCGAGGGGUGUUAGCUAUGGGAGGGUGAGAAGGAGUAUUCCAGAAGAGUUAACAGCUUAAGCAGGACCUCUGGAUUGUGGAAGGUGGUUUCUGCAUCACCACGGGACACCUGUGUGAGGGCUCAUAGGGAGGGGUUCGCGGAUGCUGGCAACUAGAAGCUGAUAAGGAAAAGUGUGGCCAAAAUGAAAAGCAGAAAAGAGAAUCUCAUCAAAUCCCCUCAUUUUAUGGGAUUUGGACUCCUAGUAAUAACUGUCCUUAAACACUCACCCUGAUCUUACAGCCCUCGCUGUUUCCUGGUUAACAGGGCCCAGGUGUUGGCUACAGGUGUCAUCACUGAGAGCCCUUGUGUGCAGAUCUGCCCCCAGCUCUGCCACCUGUAACUGAGGCUGGCCAGUCCCGCGGUGGGCCGCAGAGCCUAGCACUGGUGUCAGAGUCGUUCGUUGCAGGUUCAUCUUCAGCGUCUUUCUCACGCCACAGCCAUGUUGGAGAAAAACGGCAGAGGCGCUAGAGGAGGACAAAGCAAGCCGCCCCCGACCACCUGGCCUUCACAGAACCCAGAUCACGCUCCUCUCUCUGCCCAAGUAUAACACGUUGUGUAGUCAGUAUGAUCCCCCUUCAGUGCAGAAGUAUUGCCUAGGAAUUCCCUGCCCCACCCACCCUGUUUUGUUCUUAAUGAAGUUCAAGAACAAAAUGAGAUGAUAAUCAAGUUAUGGAGCAGGCUGCAGUGGGUACAGGGGCGGGAACACAGUCUUUGGAGUUAGAUCUGAGAUCUGCAUUUAUUGGUUGUGUGACUGUAGACAAGUUACUUAGCCUCAUUAAGGAUGAGUUUCUUCUGCAAAAAUUGGAAUAAUUCCUGCUCCAUACGACUGCUGUGAGAAUGAAAUGCCACAACUUUUGAUGUUCAAAUUCUAUUUUUUACUUCUCCUUCUAAUGACACAUACUGUAAUUGCCAGGAACCAUAAAAAUUAUAAGCCUGUAUCUAGAGGCCUGAAGAAUUGGUAGGGAACCUAAAAGAUACAGUUUCUGUUUUGUCUCUUUUCUCUUGGUUAUGGUAGCAGAGGAAAUGCACAUAUUUUCUUAGCUUCAAACAACCAAAAAAGUUGAUGCAGUAAGGAGAUGGGAAAUCUAAUUUGGAAUACUGUGUGCAAAUCUUAUUUUCAAGCAGAUUUUGAAAAUAAAACUCAAUUCUUAUGUUAGAGGAUUAUCUCCUUGAUACAAUUAUAGGGUACCCGUUUUUUAAGUCACAUCAGAGUUUAAAUAAGAUUGCAAAUUAACAGGGUCAUAUUUGAAUGUUCUGAUACUUACAUGUGGGGUGGGAAGGAGGAACGCAUGCUCUUCUCGAAUAAGACACACAGAACACUUGCCCUAGCCAGGUGAGGCUCGCCUUCAUGUAGGCUAGAGCUUCAUUCCAUCCCCAGGCAGAUAGGGUGCUUGUGACCUGAUGAAGUAAGGUAAUAUAUCUGGAAACACUUUGUAUACUGUAAAAUACUGUGCAAAUGCAGGGUAGUACGAAUGUAAAUAUUAAUGCAUUUUCAUAAGAAUUUUGGCUAUUUCAUCAUAUAUGUAAUAAUUUGUAGUGACUGGCUGUGAAUUUAAAUAGAAUUAAUGAGUUUUGUAUUACUCUCAUCUAUUUGAAGCAUCAGCUGUGACUUUCACGUUACUUUACACAGCCCUGUGUAACCUCCUCUGUGCCUUUCCCGUGGAGCACAAGUAGAACUGGAAGAAGACAUUUCUCCUCAGGGCAGAGGCUGGGUCUUCUGAUUGAAUCUCCCUUCUUUCUUCAGUGAGAUCCUCUUCUUCUGGAAGCUGGUUUCACAUGGUGGCUUAGAUUUUUCCAUCUUUGUAUCUAGCACCAUUUGAAAUCAGUGUUUUAGGAGUAAGAAUUGCAGCACAGCCAAGGGUGGACUGCAGAGGAACUGCUGCUCAUGGGACUGGCUCCUCCUCUCCUGCCACUUGAGUCUGUUCAAGAAGUCCAGGGAAGAACAUGAAGAGCAAAAUACACCCUUGAGUUGGUUGGGUUUUGGGAGGGGUGACAGUAGGGGAGGGGGUUGUGUUUAAAAUAAACACAGUGGUUUGCCCAGGGGCAGAGGUUGUGAUGCUAUUUCUUUUGACUCCUAGCAGCCGUCACCAGCACGAAUGUGUUGGUAGGGCCUUUGGGUGUGUUGAUUGUCAUAUUCGGUUGGGUAACAAUAUAUUGAGUAUUGUCAUGGGGCAAAGGAGAGGGCAUUACACCUGGAGGACCAUUUCAUCCCCAUCAGCACUGUCAUCCCACUCGUAGAGGAUGCCCUGGAGUAUUCAGCAUCCAUUGCAGGGCACCCGAAAUCAGACUUGCCACCUGUACUGUCAAGGUGCAGACCCUGGGAGCACCACUGGCCCAUCUCUUACACAGGCUGACCGAUUUCUCCUGGUGUUCAGAGUCUGUUUUUGUCUAGCACCAUUUGAAAUCGGUUAUGAUGUAGGGGGAAAAGCAGCAGCCUCGAAGCCUCAUGCCAAGUCUGGCCAGCAGCAGCCUGUGGUUUCCUGGAAGAUGGAUGGGCAGAGAAUGGGGAAGGAAGAUCACGCUUUUCCCUACUAAUUUCUUUAACUGCAUGUAUGAUACAUUAUUGCAGAGGUAAGAGAUAGUUUAAUGGAUUUUUAAAAAUAAAUUACUGUAAUUUAUCUGAUGUUCUCAGUUGCAUUUUGCUGAAAUGUAGUACUGCUAUAAAUUCUAUAAACUGGUUGCUGUUGAAUUACCUUUCUGUUGAAAAGUCUGUUCAUGCAUCCUGACCUUAAUAAAUACUAUGUUCAGUUUAUCA